GAGCCUUCCCUCCCCCGCUCCCCCGGAAGUGCUUUUCCAGGGUUCGGGCCGGAGAGAGGCCUUGCGGACCCAGCCGCUGACGCUCCGUCGGCUCCGAAUAGGGGCUCCAGCCCGGGUCCGAGCGAGGAGGUCCGCGCCCGCCUACCCGCAGCCUGCGCCCUCCCAGCGUCCGGCCUGACGGACUCCCAGUGGCAGAAGUGAGUUGGAUGAUUGCCCUCAGAAGUCCAGGGAUGGUGGCCCAAAGUGUGUCUGCUAUAAAUUGAAAAGGCCUUGCUUCCUGAUCUCACUAAAUUGCUCAGGCAGGACUUGAACUUGGAAUAUUCCUACUUUAGCCUCCAUCAGUGCUGGGAUUACAGGUGUGUGCCACUGUGCCCAUUUUUUUUAUUUAUUUACUUGGGUUUUUUUUUGUUUGUUUGUUUGUUUUUGGUACGGGGGAUUGAACUUGAGUCCUUGCGAUUGCGCAGCAGGCAGCGAAACCACUGAGCUAAAUCCCCCGGCCAUAUUUAGUUAAUUUUUUGAGAUGGGGCGGGGGUCCUCCCCUUUGUAGUGAAGGCUGGCCUUGAACUCACUUUCUAGCCCAGACUGGCCUCAAACUCAUGGUGCUCCUCUAGCCUUCAGCCUCUGGAGUGUGAAGAUCACAGGCUACAGGUGUGCACCACAAUGAGCAGUUUUUGUUUUGAUUUUAAAGACCAAGGUUUGUGAAGUGAUUUGGGG
rnacentral:lncRNA from 1 species